GUCCGGGUGACGCAGCAGUUAGCGUGUAGCGUGUAGGAUUGCAAUUGGCGUUGCUCCCUGGAUAACUCAGGCGACAAAAAUCCUGAAGUCCCCGGUUCAAAUCCGGGUCCGGACC